rnacentral:rRNA from 1 species
CCUACGGGGUGCAGCAGUGAGGAAUAUUGGUCAAUGGACGCAAGUCUGAACCAGCCAUGCCGCGUGCAGGAAGACGGCUCUAUGAGUUGUAAACUGCUGUUGUAAGAGGGUAAACGCAGAUACGCGUAUCUGUCUGAAAGUAUCGUACGAAUAAGGAUCGGCUAACUCCGUGCCAGCAGCCGCGGUAAUACGGAGGAUUCAAGCGUUAUCCGGAUUUAUUGGGUUUAAAGGGUGCGUAGGCGGUCGGAUAAGUGAGAGGUGAAAUCCCGAGGCUCAACUUCGGAAUUGCCUCUGAUCCUGUUCGGCUAGAGCGUAGUUGCGGUAGUCUGAAUGUAUGGUGUAGCGGUCAAAUUCUUAG